rnacentral:rRNA from 1 species
UAAAUUGACGGUACCUGAUGAAUAAGCUCCGGCUAACUACGUGCCAGCAGCCGCGGUAAUACGUAGGGAGCGAGCGUUAUCCGGAAUUAUUGGGCGUAAAGGGUGCGUAGAUGGCAUAUAAAGUCUAUUGUAAAAGUGCUAGGCUCAACCUAGUGAGGCAAUAGAAACUAAUAAGCUAGAGUACAGAAGAGGCAAGUGGAAUUCCAUGUGUAGCGGUAAAAUGCGUAAAUAUAUGGAGGAACACCAGUGGCGAAGGCGGCUUGCUGGUCUGAUACUGACAUUGAGGCACGAAAGCGUGGGGAGCAAACAGGAUUAGAUACCCUGGUAGUCCACGCCCUAAACGAUGAGUACUAAGUGUAGCCGUAAGGCUGUGCUGAAGUUAACGCAUUAAGUACUCCGCCUGAGUAGUACGUACGCAAGUAUGAAACUUAAAGGAAUUGACGGGAGCCCGCACAAGCGGUGGAGCAUGUUGUUUAAUUCGACGAUACGCGAAGAACCUUACCAGGUCUUGACAUCUGAUGCAAAGUUAUAGAGAUAUAAUGGAGGUUAGCAUCAAGACAGGUGGUGCAUGGUUGUCGUCAGCUCGUGUCGUGAGAUGUUGGGUUAAGUCCCGCAACGAGCGCAACCCUUAUUUCUAGUUACCAUCAUUAAGUUGGGGACUCUAGAGAGACUGCCAUUGAUAAAAUGGAGGAAGGUGGGGAUGACGUCAAAUCAUCAUGCCCUAUAUGACCUGGGCUACAAACGUGCUACAAUGGCUGGAACAAAGAGAAGCAAAACCGCGAGGUAGAGCGAACCUCAAAAAAACAGUCUCAGUUCGGAUUGAAGUCUGCAACUCGACUUCAUGAAGUUGGAAUCGCUAGUAAUCGCGAAUCAGAAUGUCGCGGUGAAUACGUUCCCGGGCUUUGCACACACCGCCCGUCAA